rnacentral:rRNA from 1 species
CAGCAGCCACGGUAAUACGUAGGUGGCAAGCGUUGUCCGGAAUUAUUGGGCGUAAAGGGCUCGCAGGCGGUUUCUUAAGUCUGAUGAGAAAGCCCCCGGCUCAACCGGGGAGGGUCAUGGAAACUGGGAAACUUGAGUGCAGAAGAGGAGAGUGGAAUCCCACGUGUAGCGGUGAAAUGCGUAGAGAUGUGGAGGAACACCAGUGGCGAAGGCGACUCUCUGGUCUGUAACUGACGCUGAGGAGCGAAAGCGUGGGGAGCGAACAGGAUUAGAUACCCCCGUAGUCCCUGUCUCUUAUACA